CCUAUGCAGUCCAGUGACAAGUCUGUACCCUUUCUGAAAUGUACAAAGCUUCUCCAGCUGCCCUUCUCCAUAGGGCCAAAUGCUCUGUAUGAGAUGUGGCUGUAGCAGGAGGUGGAGAAGAACGGGGUUAGCAGCUGAGAGGGCUGUGACUGACUGUAGUGUGGUGAAAUAAAUGAGCUCCAGGUGUUCGGCACCUUCAGGAAUUGGCCCUGCCUGAACAAGGACUGACUGAAUCCAAGGAGGCCUUCGGGAUUUGCCCGAUUAUGUUUAGUUUAUUGUAGUACUUUGGGAUCUGGCAUUUCAUUUGUUUGUUCUCUUCCUUGUUUGCCCGGAUUAAGCAAUGUUUCCCAGGCAGAAUAAAAAAACACUGCAUGUUCAGGACCCUUUUCAGUUGGAAGUGAGAGCCAUGGGAAACGCUUCAUUACCAACAGGUAGCAAAUAUUUAGUUCUCGCUUGGCCAGUUUGCAGGUGUGGAAUCCACUGUGAAAUGCACAAGAAAGAUGCACUUGCAGACUGGUGAUGUAGGCUUUGGUUAAGGCAGCUCACUGAAAAGUGGCCCUAGUUUAUUCUAUCCCCUGCCCCCCUUUAAUAUUAUGAGUUUUAUUUUCCUCCCUAAUAAUCAGUUACAGUGAGUGGGGCGCCACAGAGCAGCACGGCUCGUAAGUGUAUUCUUUUGCAAGACAAGAUUAGCCUUUACUGCAUCCUAAUCUCUCCCUGCAGAUGGUGACUAUAAUUCAGAAGGGCCAUUCUUUCCAGGCUUCAGUAAGGGGAGAGGUGGGCUUUAUUGUUAAGAGAUCACCGUCAAUCAAAGGUGCAGGAUGAUCAUAUGUUGUGGGAAUGCAUAUCUAGUACCCACAACAGACCUUUUGUCAGACUAACUUUGUUAUGAUCUCCCCCUUUUCCGGGGCUGUUUGGUUAUGGUUUUUGGUUCACAGCUUCUCCAGAGAAGUGAGUGAUGGAGAGGAUUCCAGAGCCACAUCCAAAAGAGUCCCCACGAGGAUCUUCUAGAAGGCAGCCUGUAACAGCCUUCUUGUGAAAGGCCAGGAGGACAGGCAGCAUUCUGCAUCAUAUUGCUCCAGAUGCUUAACCAUGUGAACAUCGAGAGCCAUAACAAAACUGCCAUUUCCAUGAUGGCUUUCUGAACUGGUUUGGUCACAUACUAAAAUGAAAAGAUGCUACAAGGAUGGACAGGGAAUGGGGAAAUAAACCCCACACAACAGCCUCUAGUGGUACAGUUCUCAGCACAGAAGCUCCACCUUUGCAGACAAACUUACUGCAACAAAGUACAGACUGUCUCUAAUUACAGACUGGAAAUAGAAUCUGGAAAACAUGAGGCAUGGUAGAAAUCCAAGGACACUGUAACACGAGAGGACAGCUUGAAAUUGUGAUCCCUUUUCAGCUUCACUGUCCGACCACAAAGGGGGCAGAUGAGAAGCAAUCUACUACUGAGCAACCACAAAUACGAACAGACUUCACACUGGAAAAAUCAGGAAGAAAAAGUCUAGCUUUGGGAGUGAAGAGAGACUUUGGAACUGCCCUCCCAAUAUGUGACUGCCUUCUGAUGAACCAGAAAUGGCUAAUACUACAAGAUGGACACACUCAGGAACUCCCCAUGGAAAUCAUGGCACCUCUUCCUUUUGUUAAGAUACUGGCUGGCACCACUUGUAUACUUUAUGCUAAUAAAACUUAAAUUGUA